GACGUAGGAGGCAAGCGUUGUCCGGAGUUACUGGGCGUAAAGCGCGCGCAGGCGGCCCCUGUGCGCUGCCGGUGAAAGCUCCCGGCUCACCUGGGAGAGGUUCGGCAGGACGGCAGGGCUGGAGGGCGGUAGAGGGUGGUGGAAUUCCCGGUGUAGUGGUGAAAUGCGUAGAUAUCGGGAGGAACACCCGUAGCGAAGGCGGUUCUCUGGAACGGUACUGACGCUGAGACGCGAAAGCGUGGGGAGCGAACAGG
rnacentral:rRNA from 1 species